rnacentral:rRNA from 1 species
AUACGUAGGGGGCGAGCGUUGUCCGGAAUGAUUGGGCGUAAAGGGCGCGUAGGCGGCCCGGUAAGUCUGGAGUGAAAGUCCUGUUUUUAAGAUGGGAAUUGCUUUGGAUACUGUCGGGCUUGAGUGCAGGAGAGGUAAGUGGAAUUCCCAGUGUAGCGGUGAAAUGCGUAGAGAUUGGGAGGAACACCAGUGGCGAAGGCGACUUACUGGACUGUAACUGACGCUGAGGCGCGAAAGUGUGGGGAGCAAACAGGAUUAGAUACCCUGGUAGUCCACACUGUAAACGAUGAAUGCUAGGUGUAGGGGGUAUCGACCCCUUCUGUGCCGCAGUCAACACAAUAAGCAUUCCGCCUGGGGAGUGCGGCCGCAAGGUUGAAACUCAAAUGAAUUGACGGGG